CUCUUGCUUUUUCUUUUCCCUCUCAGUAUCUCUGAAACAAAAGCCACCAAAAUCUCCUUCCAUCUAUGUGCUUGUGUUUCUCGACACUUGCCAAUCACUUUCUUUUCUUUCUACGACCUUCUUCAUCUCUUUAGACUGAAUCUUUGAUUGCCAGUUGCUUUUAUCCUUUGAGCAAUUCAAGGCAACAAGUUUGGACUUGCCUAAAAGAGUAUACUCAGAUGGGUCACCGAUAUUGCAAUAUGGUCCUACUCCUAUCAUCUUUGCCCCUGAUUCUCUCCUCCCCACAGAUACUUUGAAUUCUUUGCAUUUUAAACCUUCCUGGUUUUCAAAUCUUCGAAAUCUUGAAUUUUGGGCCAGCACCGGUAUCACUGCUGCUCAUUUCUUGAUUUCGUUUCCUAUUUCCAAAUCAUGCCAAUCUUAAAAAUCUUGAAACCACAGACUAUAGUUUAGUCGGUCAAAAUCUUUGACUUGUUAUAUCUUUUUUUUCACACGCAAUUCCAAGGAGUAUGAUCAUCCAUGAAUCUCACACACUAGUCUCUCAUUGCAACUCCAUAAUUCUUGCAAAUCUUUCAUGAUCUUGUAAAUACAAUAACAAGAAUGAUGAUCAGAUAACAUAUAUGCAUUAGGCCUUAACCUUUUAGUCAACUCCCACUUAUUUGCCAAAACUGAAAUUGGGUCGUUAACAGUUGCAUAUAUGGAGGCAAAAAGCAGAGAGCACUGCAAGAUCAGAAAGCGAGGAAAUUCAUCUUCUUCCUCGUCCUCACUGAUCCAAAAGUACAGAUUCAAGCGAGCAAUUCUGGUUGGGAAGAGAGGUGGGUCUACCACUCCUGUCCCAACGUGGAAAACAAGCACCAAAUCUCCAACUUUAUCAAUGCCAAAUGCAGAAUCCACCAAGUGUCCACCCUCUCAAAGUGGGGGCAAAGCUAAAGAAGCUUCGGUUUCUGCAAGAAAAUUGGCUGCUACUUUGUGGGAGAUCAAUAACAUUCCUUCACCGAGAGUUAGAAAGGAUUUAGAAACGGUAGCAGAUACUAAAGAGCUGAGAAGCAGAGAAAAAGUUGCAAAGUUCCCACAUUUGUCAGAUCCAUCUUACACUCCAAUUCCAGAGAAGAUGGAUCGAUCUAGAGGAAAUGGUCAUAGGAGAAGGGCAUCAUUUGCUAGAAAGAAAUUUGGGGUGACUGAUUAUAAUGUGGGAGGCUUGGACUCUGUUAGUAAUGCAAGUUUGAUGGAGAUUGAAACUCAUACCAAGGGCAAGACUCACAAGGAAUGUAUAAUUGGAAUUAAAACCCGUUUGAAGGAUGUUAGCAAUGGCUUGACCACAUCCAAAGAACUUCUGAAAGUUCUGAACCGUAUCUGGAGUCUUGAUGAGCAGCACUCUUCAGGCAUGUCCCUUGUCUCAGCACUUCGUGUUGAGCUUGAUCGAGCCCGCGUCCAGGUCGAUCAAUUGAUUAAAGAACAGCGCUUUAACCGCAAUGAGAUCGAGUUCCUUUUGAAGCAUUUUGAAGAAGAAAAGGCAGCUUGGAAAAGCAAAGAGCGAGAUAGGAUUCACAAUGCCAUAGCAUGCAUUGCAGAGGAGCUUGAAGUAGAGAAGAAAUUAAGAAGACAGACAGAGAGGUUGAAUAAGAAGCUUGGAAAAGAAUUGGCAGAUACAAAGGCAUCUUUGUCACAGGCUUUGAAAGAGCUUGAGAGUGAGAAGAGGGCAAAGGAGAUAUUGGAGCAAGUCUGCGACGAGUUGGCCAGAGGCAUUGGAGAAGACAGAGCUGAGGUCGAAGAAUUGAAAAGAGAAUCUGCAAAAGUUAGGGAGGAGAUGGAAAAAGAAAGGGAAAUGCUUCAGCUCGCUGAUGUGUUGCGUGAAGAAAGGGUCCAGAUGAAGCUCUCUGAAGCUAAAUAUCAUUUCGAAGAGAAAAAUGCAGCAGUUGAGAGGCUAAGAAAUGAGCUUGAGUCCUACCUCAAGGAAAAAGUAGCAGGUAAAGAAACUGAUCAUGACUCUCCAAAUUAUGAAAGAAUUAAAGAGCUUGAGGCUUAUUUGAAGGAGAUACAAAAUGGAUCAUCACAAAGGGCUGAGAAAGAAGCAAACGUUGGGGUAAUAGAAAAUGGAGAAGUUCAUGAUGGAGAUGAUUCAGCUGAUAGCGAUCUUCACUCCAUUGAAUUAAACAUGGACAACAUCAGCAAAAGCUACAAGUGGAGUUAUGCUUGUGAUAGUGAUGCUUUAGAUAAUCUGAAGCGGGUCUCAGUAGAUAGAGAUUUUAAGGGGAGAAAGUCUAUCUCUGAGAACAUUCAAUGGGGAAGCAUCUGUUUGCAAAGAAAAAAUUCCUAUAGCAUGGAUGGUCCUGACUGGGAUUUCAUUAGUAAAAGUCAGGAAAAAUCAGAUGUGCUUGAUAGGGAAAGAUUAUCUGAACUUGAUUUGCAUUCUCAGACACGGGAUCCUGAAGAUGAAAUUAUGCAAUAUAGAUCAGUGAAAAGCCUUAGAGACCACGUUUUAUCUAAUUCUAAAAGGCAACCUAUACAAAACUUUGCCAGUCCAACAAGGCAGUGGGAGCCUUUGCAGGAUGCUGGAAGUGCGGUUUCAGAUAGUUCACCAGUGCUGCAAGGUGAUUUUUUGAAACCCUAGUUAGUGGGAACAAGAGGCGAACGCCGGACUUUAACAAGUUCAAGACAUUAAACCCUUUACCUAUCACAUUUUGCUUGCAGAAGUGUUGUGCUUGCAUUUCCUUUCUUCGAGAAAUGUUCAAAAUCUCCCAGUAGCUAAUUCAUUUGUAAAUAGAAUCAUAUGCAAAAGCUGUAUGAAUCUUACUUGCCAAGAAGCACUUUAUUUA
rnacentral:misc_RNA from 1 species